rnacentral:rRNA from 1 species
GUCCACGCCCUAAACGAUGAAUACUCGCUGUUAGCGAUACACAGUUAGCGGCUAAGCGAAAGCGUUAAGUAUUCCACCUGGGGAGUACGGUCGCAAGAUUGAAACUCAAAGGAAUUGACGGGGGCCCGCACAAGCGGAGGAGCAUGUGGUUUAAUUCGAUGAUACGCGAGGAACCUUACCCGGGCUUGAAAGUUAGUGAAUCAUUUAGAGAUAGAUGAGUCCGCAAGGACACGAAACUAGGUGCUGCAUGGCU